AUGAGUCGACCUGAUGGGAUCAACAUCCCCGACGGCAAGUUCUACCUUGGAGAUGCUGGCUAUGCAUGUCGGCCGGGUAUUCUUUCACCCUUCAGGAAAACAAGGUACCAUCUCAACGAGUUCUCUGGUAGGAACUUUCCUAGGACUGCACAGGAGCUGUUUAAUCUCAGACACUCCAGCCUUAGAGUAACUGUUGAGAGGGCAUUUGGAGCUCUAAAGAAUAGGUUUAAGAUCCUGGAUCAGAAGCCAUUCCACCCACACUCCACUCAAGUUAAGCUAGUUCUUGCUUGUUGCAUUCUGCAUAACUGGAUCCUCCAGUGGGGCUUUGAUGAACACGUGCCUGAGGAGGAAGAGGUCGAGCCUGACGAUGUUGUUAGCUCUGGCCAUGGUGUGGAGGCAUUUGACAAUGACGCUUGGAAGAACAAAAGGUUGGAGUGGGCAGAGGCAAUGUGGCUU
rnacentral:rRNA from 1 species